GACGAACGCUGGCGGCGUGCUUAACACAUGCAAGUCGAGCGGUAAGGCCCUUUCGGGGGUACACGAGCGGCGAACGGGUGAGUAACACGUGGGUGACCUGCCCUUAGCUCUGGGAUAAGCCUGGGAAACUGGGUCUAAAUACCGGGAUAUGACUCCAUGACGCAUGUUGUGGGGUGGAAAGCCUUGUGCGGCUAGGGAUGGGCCUGCGGCCUAUCAGCUUGUUGGUGGGGUGAUGGGCCUACCAAGGCGACGACGGGUAGCCGGCCUGAGAGGGCGACCGGCCGACACUGGGACUGAGACACGGGCCCAGACUCCUACGGGAGGCAGGCAGUGGGGAAUCUUGGCGCAAUGGGCGAAAGCCUGAACGCAGCGACGCCGCGU
rnacentral:rRNA from 1 species